rnacentral:rRNA from 1 species
UACGGAGGGUGCAAACGUUGCUCGGAAUCAUUGGGCGUAAAGCGCACGUAGGCGGUCCGUUAAGUCGGGAGUGAAAUCCCUCGGCUCAACCGAGGAAGUGCUUUCGAAACUGGCAGACUUGAAUACUGGAGAGGAUCGCGGAAUUCCUGGUGUAGCGGUGAAAUGCGCAGAUAUCAGGAGGAACACCGAUUGCGAAGGCAGCUCGCUGGGACGUAACUGACGCUGAGACGCGAAAGCGUGGGGAGCAAACAGG